GAUGAACGCUGGCGGCGUGCCUAAUACAUGCAAGUCGAGCGAACAGACGAGGAUCUUGCUCCUCUGACGCUAGCGGCGGACGGGUGAGUAACACGUGUAUAACCUACCUAUAAGACUGGGAUAACUUCGGGAAACCGGAUCUAAUACCGGAUAAUAUAUUGAACCGCAUGGUUCAAUAGUGAAAGACGGUUUUGCUGUCACUUAUAGAUGUAUCCGCGCCGCAUUAGCUAGUUGGUAAGGUAACGGCUUACCAAGGCAACGAUGCGUAGCCGACCUGAGAGGGUGAUCGGCCACACUGGAACUGAGACACGGUCCAGACUCCUACGGGAGGCAGCAGUAGGGAAUCUUCCGCAAUGGGCGAAAGCCUGACGGAGCAACGCCGCGUGAGUGAUGAAGGUCUUCGGAUCGUAAAACUCUGUUAUUAGGGAAGAACAAAUGUGUAAGUAAAUAUGCACGUCUUGACGGUACCUAAUCAGAAAGCCACGGCUAACUACGUG
rnacentral:rRNA from 1 species